rnacentral:rRNA from 1 species
UACAGAGGGUGCUAGCGUUGUUCGGAAUCAUUGGGCGUAAAGGGCGUGUAGGCGGUCUGUUAAGUCAUGUGUGAAAUCCCUCGGCUCAACCGGGGAACGACGCAUGAAACUGGCAAGCUAGAGUACCAAAGAGGGGGGUGGAAUUCCCGGUGUAGCGGUGAAAUGCGUAGAUAUCAGGAGGAACACCGGUGGCGAAGGCGGGUCUCUGGGCAGUAACUGACGCUGAGGAGCGAAAGCGUGGGGAGCGAACAGG